CUGGGGAGUACGGCCGCAAGGUUAAAACUCAAAUGAAUUGACGGGAGCCCGCACAAGCGGUGGAGCAUGUGGUUUAAUUCGAUGCAACGCGAAGAACCUUACCUACUCUUGACAUCCAGAGAACUUUCCAGAGAUGGAUUGGUGCCUUCGGGAACUCUGAGACAGGUGCUGCAUGGCUGUCGUCAGCUCGUGUUGUGAAAUGUUGGGUUAAGUCCCGCAACGAGCGCAACCCUUAUCCUUUGUUGCCAGCGGUUAGGCCGGGAACUCAAAGGAGACUGCCAGUGAUAAACUGGAGGAAGGUGGGGAUGACGUCAAGUCAUCAUGGCCCUUACGAGUAGGGCUACACACGUGCUACAAUGGCGCAUACAAAGAGAAGCGACCUCGCGAGAGCAAGCGGACCUCAUAAAGUGCGUCGUAGUCCGGAUUGGAGUCUGCAACUCGACUCCAUGAAGUCGGAAUCGCUAGUAAUCGUAGAUCAGAAUGCUACGGUGAAUACGUUCCCGGGCCUUGUACACACCGCCCGUCACACCAUGGGAGUGGGUUGCAAAAGAAGUAGGUAGCUUAACCUUCGGGAGGGCGCUUACCACUUUGUGAUUCAUGACUGGGGUGAAGUCGUAACAAGGUAACCAAGGGCGAAUUCCAG
rnacentral:rRNA from 1 species